AUUUUUGAUAGAGCAGCCCAGUAACUCAGCUGGAGAUUCUCCUGAGAGGACUACAAUAAGAAUUGUUUUAUGGAGAUGAGGGAACAUUCCAAGAAGGCUCCAUGAAAACUCUGGGACUUGAGGCAGCCUUUGAAAGCUGAGUGAAUUAUAUAAAACCCAUGCCCAAAUGCUACUUCCCAUGGUUGAAAGAAGUUGGGGUUUAGGACUGGGCACAUCUGGGUUCUAUCCUUGGCCUACCAUAUGCCAGCUUAGUAACUGGGUGCAAUUUUACUUAGCCUCCUCUGAGACUCAGUUUCCUCAACUUUAUGCUACUGAUCAAACCAACUGUGCAGAGUUCUCAUGAAUAAUGAGAUACACAAGAUACAUUUUUUUUUAUUGUCUGGCAAAUAGGUGCUCAACAAAUGUAAGAUAUUUUUAUUAGCUAGAAUUUGUGUAGAAGGUAUGUGAGUUAGAAUUUAAUCUCUUACCUAGGGCUUAAUUAAAUCUGCAAUUUGUAGGCAUCAAUGGACACGCAAUUUGAAGCCAUCUUGAAAGCACGGGUGAAAAUACACUGUAUGAAAAGCUCUGGAGCCAUCAGGACUUCACAAGUACAACAGAGCAUCCCAUGACAACAGAGCCAACUUGGAAGUACUGUUCAUUGCCAUCGCAGAUUAAUUAUCAACUCCACUGCCUGCUCUUCAAGACUUGGGACCUUCAGAAAUGAAUCAAAUAUUAGAAAAUAUAAAGUUGGCUUCUGUUUACACCCCUGCUCAUUUCUACCUCUGUGGAUUGGAAGAUAAGAAAGCCAAAUUUCUUGCUCCCCAGGGUACCACUGAAGAUUCAUAUCCAUGGAACAGAGUCCAAUUAUAACAUUUCCUGAGAUUCUGAAAGUCUUAUGUGAUCAAGCUGAGAUUUUUUUGAUUGGGAUUGAGCUCCAUUAACCUUUCUCAAAGAGAAGGAAUCUUUUUGCACUGUGCUAAGGGACUCUACCCAUAUAAGUCAGCAUGUGACUUGCCAGGUAUCAUUCAUGGAGCUUCAAUUUGAACCUCCCCUGCAGAGUCAGUACUGUCAACCACAUGACUGUAUACUGCUUGUAAUAAGAAUUUGAAAAGAAAAACCUGGCCUGGACUUAUGAAAGGGGCAUUGGAUCCUAAUUCUUCAGGCUGCUGCUUCUCCUGGCAACCUUUAAAGGAUAAUGUGGGACUGUGCUGAUACCAUCCGGGUGAAGGACAGCUUCAUUUCUAUUUAAAUUUACAUCUGUUGCAAACUCACAUCACAAUUAAAUGUGUUUCUUAGGUAUCUUACUAAAAUUGAGGCUCUUUGGCUCUUAUGUAAAUUUUCCAUUACGUAGAUGUUAAGGAAUGAGAAAAUCCAAAUUCUGGUGUACAAUCUAUUUUGGCAAGUAUUUAAAAAUUUCUGAGCCUGUUAAUUCCUCUGCAAACCAAACACUUUUGACUAGAUUCAAUUUUUUUUUUAAAUGUGGCACUUUGGCAACAUGGUAAAGUUUUUAUAUUCAUAGGCUAAAUAUAGA
ensembl:lncRNA